rnacentral:rRNA from 1 species
AGUUGGUGGAGUGAUUUGUCUGGUUAAUUCCGUUAACGAACGAGACCUUAACCUGCUAACUAGACGCUCGAACAUUAUUGUACGAGUGAGCUUCUUAGAGGGACUUCGGCGUGUCGAAUGCGAGGAAGUUUGAGGCAAUAACAGGUC